rnacentral:lncRNA from 12 species
CAGGCAUGUAUCCCACUUCAUCUUGCCUCCUUUUUCAGAGGAGGCUGUCACCAGUGAAGAUGCCAUGGCUGGAGGUUCUCUGGGUUGAAGGAAGAAGGUGAAUAGAGGUCUGCAGCCCAGAGCCUUACAGGAGGAUGCUCAGAUGCCCUGAAG